rnacentral:rRNA from 1 species
ACAGAACGAACGCUGGCGCAUGCCUAACNCAUGCAAGUCGAACGAGACCUUCGGGUCUAGUGGCGCGACGGGUGCGUAACGCGUGGGAAUCUGCCCUUGGUUCGGAAUAACAGCGAGAAAUUGCUGCUAAUACCGGAUAAUGACGUAAGUCCAAAGAUUUAUCGCCAAGGGAUGAGCCCGCGUAGGAUUAGCUAGUUGGUGUGGUAAAGGCGCACCAAGGCGACGAUCCUUAGCUGGUCUGAGAGGAUGAUCAGCCACACUGGGACUGAGACACGGCCCAGACUCCUACGGGAGGCAGCAGUGGGGAAUAUUGGACAAUGGGCGAAAGCCUGAUCCAGCAAUGCCGCGUGAGUGAUGAAGGCCUUAGGGUUGUAAAGCUCUUUUACCCGAGAUGAUAAUGACAGUAUCGGGAGAAUAAGCUCCGGCUAACUCCGUG